rnacentral:rRNA from 1 species
UACGGAGGGUGCGAGCGUUGUCCGGAAUCACUGGGCGUAAAGGGCGCGUAGGCGGCGCGGGUAGUCAUCGGUGAAAGUUCAGGGCUCAACUCUGAAUCGGCCGGUGAUACUCCCGUGCUCGAGCACUGUAGAGGCAGGUGGAAUUCCGGGUGUAGCGGUGGAAUGCGUAGAGAUCCGGAAGAACACCGAAGGCGAAGGCAGUGUCCUGGCGAGUGACUGACGCUGAGGUGCGAAAGCCAGGGGAGCGAACGGG